GUCAACUUGUCAAUUUGACAGUCGUUCAGUCAACUGAAGGCAGGUAGUUAAAAUUAAAAUUCAAUUUCGUUUUCUUUUCAAAUUAAAAUUUGUUUGUUUUGGAAUUUGAGUAUCAAAUUAUGUCAUUUAUUGUGCGUCGCAGCCGACGCGGCUUGCUUAAAACUAGAGGGACAACAAAUAAAAAAUGCAAAAAAACACAAACCAACAAUGAAGACAGAGCAGCAGCAAAACAAGUUAGAAUACUGUACCUAAAAGCUUUUUGCAGUAUUAAAGUGUACACAUUAUUGUGUGCUAUCUUUGCGCUGACCGGUUGGACAAGCUUUUUCCGCAGAUUAAGCCCGACAAGACUAUACAUACAUAUACCGUUUUCAUGAAUUUUAUGAGUGCAGCGUAUUAAAAAUUGUUUAUAAACAAAAAA